rnacentral:lncRNA from 1 species
GUUAACAAUCCCUGAAUCCUUCAUGGAAGGGACACACAUCCCUCCAUAACACCUGCCUCCUCAAUCCCCCUUAUCCUGUAGCACUCCAGAGCAGCAUUAAUACUAUUUUAAAAAGCAAAAUUCUAAAAUGGGGAAAGCUUCUACAAGCACCUUGGUCAGUUCCAGGUGUAGAAGUUACAUAGUAGAUCAGAACCAUAACUUUUAACUUUAACAAGCAGUAGGAAAACAAGCACUUACAUUGUAUAAAGUAACAACACAACACUAGCAUACUUGAAAGGUUUAUACCACGCUACUAACAAAUCGCAACACAGACUUACCUGGAGCACUGAGGAAUAACACAACUUGAAGCAGUUUUUCUUAUUAAAAAACAAAACAAAACAAACAAAAAAACCCAAACCAAACCAAAACAAAAAAACACAGAAUUUUCUUCAACACAACACCACUAGCAUUGUGUUAUCUCAAUACCAGCAAGGCACAGCAGGCCUCUCUGGUAAGUGUGAGGUAAAACUACUUCCCUCUUUUUCCACUGUUCAAAAGAGCUUAACAAAGUCUGAAGAAAAGCCCUUGAUUGUCCUUAUUUUGUAAGGGGGAAUGUGCCCUGCCAUUGUGUUAUCUCGCUAUGCUCUGCUGUGGAAGCUUCCAGAAGGCACUGAGCAGGGCAGGGCUGGGCUGCUAGGCCGAGGUGAAAUGGUGGUAUUUCCGCAGCCUGCACAAGCUGGGAGGAGCACUUCAGCCUGUGACACCACAGGAAAGCACACUGUGAAGGAGAAUACUGCCUUCCCUUACUGCUUUGUUGCUGCUAAUGCCAAACAGCUGAGACAACACUUGUCAUAUUUCACGAAGAGAUCAGAACUGUGUUUUAAGAGAUCUUCAGCUUGAAAUACUGUAAUAGGAGCUGCUGACAUAGCGUGAAACUGAGAUAAAGUGAUACAGCUCUGCUUUACCUUCCCAUAAAA